GUAGGUGUAGUCCAAUGCAACAAGACGUUAGAUUGUGAUUCUAAAAAUGAAGGUUAAAGUCCUUUCACCAACC
rnacentral:tRNA from 1 species